UACGUAGGGCGCAAGCGUUGUCCGGAAUUAUUGGGCGUAAAGAGUUCGUAGGCGGCUUGUCACGUCGGGUGUGAAAGCCCGGGGCUUAACCCCGGGUCUGCAUUCGAUACGGGCUAGCUAGAGUGUGGUAGGGGAGAUCGGAAUUCCUGGUGUAGCGGUGAAAUGCGCAGAUAUCAGGAAGAACACCCGUGGCUAAGGCGGUUCUCUAGUUCGGUACUGACGCUGAGACGCGAAAGCGUGGGGAGCGAACAGG
rnacentral:rRNA from 1 species